rnacentral:rRNA from 1 species
AGUUGGUGGAGUGAUUUGUCUGGUUAAUUCCGUUAACGAACGAGACCCCCGCCUGCUAAAUAGGACCGGGCAUGCUUAGCAUGGCCGGCGCCUUCUUAGAGGGACUUUCGGCGCUAGGCCGAAGGAAGUUGGGGGCAAUAACAGG